UAAGUCCCUUGUAACAGAUGGCAUUUUCCAGAGACAGCCUCUGCAAUUUCUCCCAUCCCACAAGAUAUUCUUCCCAUAUGACCUUUACCUCCCACUGCUGGAGAGUGGGGUUUAUGUUCUCUCCCUCCUGAAUCUGAGCACGUUCAUGACUCACUCACAACUAAUAGAAUGUGGCAGAAGAGACGCUGCGUGGCCUCCAAGGCUAGGUCACAGAAGGUGAUGCAGGUGCCUUCGUGCUAUAGCCCUGAGAUGCUGUGUAAGCAUCUGACUGCCCAGGGCCGCCAUGUUGUGAGGAAGUCCAAGUAGCCCGAAAGGGGGCUGUGGGUUGGUGUUGUGGCAGACAGUCCAGAUACGUCCCAGCCCCCAGCCAGCUCCAACUGCCAAACAGGCACUUCCAGAAGGCCCUGGCAUCCUGGAAUAGAGACAAGACAUCUGUGCUGUGCCUUGUGUGAUUCUGAGCCAUAGGAUCUGUGAGCGUAAUACGAUGGCUGCUGGGCGCCCUAAUGUUUUGAGGGAUUCCUUACACAGCACAAGUACCCUGGCAACCGUGGCUCCACCUCCAGCCAGGCGUUAUCACUGGGCUCCCUGUCUUCCUCU
rnacentral:lncRNA from 10 species